AACGAACGCUGGCGGCAGGCUUAACACAUGCAAGUCGAGCGCCCCGCAAGGGGAGCGGCAGACGGGUGAGUAACGCGUGGGAAUCUACCCAUCUCUACGGAAUAACGCAUGGAAACGUGUGCUAAUACCGUAUACGUCCUUCGGGAGCAAGAUUUAUCGGAGAUGGAUGAGCCCGCGUUGGAUUAGCUAGUUGGUGGGGUAAAGGCCUACCAAGGCGACGAUCCAUAGCUGGUCUGAGAGGAUGAUCAGCCACACUGGGACUGAGACACGGCCCAGACUCCUACGGGAGGCAGCAGUGGGGAAUAUUGGACAAUGGGCGCAAGCCUGAUCCAGCCAUGCCGCGUGAGUGAUGAAGGCCUUAGGGUUGUAAAGCUCUUUCACCGGUGAAGAUAAUGACGGUAACCGGAGAAGAAGCCCCGGCUAACUUCGUGCCAGCCGCCGCGGUAAUAC
rnacentral:rRNA from 1 species